rnacentral:pre_miRNA from 15 species
UUGACAGAAGAGAGUGAGCACACAUCGGGGAAAAUGGCAUGACGUGGUGCUGUUUCCGCUGCGUGCUCACUUCUCUUCCUGUCA